GAUGAAGAACGUAGCGAAAUGCGAUAAGUAGUGUGAAUUGCAGAAUUCAGUGAAUCAUCGAAUCUUUGAACGCACAUUGCGCCCGCCAGUAUUCUGGCGGGCAUGCCUGUUCGAGCGUCAUUUCAACCAUCAAGCCCCGGGCUUGUGUUGGGGACCUGCGGCUGCCGCAGGCCCUGAAAAACAGUGGCGGGCUCGCUAGUCACCCCGAGCGUAGUAGUUACAUCUCGCUCAGGGCGUGCUGCGGGUUCCGGCCGUUAAACCCCUUUACCCCAAGGUUGACCUCGGAUCAGGUAGGAAGACCCGCUGAACUUAAGCAUAUCAAUAAGCGGAGGA
rnacentral:misc_RNA from 1 species